GUGUGGCCCAUCCCGCGGAGAAGAGAAGGGCAAGGGAGCCAAGGGAAUCACUCCCACACCCCUCCACUAUAAUCCGCCUCCUAGCAGCAGCCAACCCCUCCAGUCGAUGCUGUUUCGCUCCUCCUCUUCCGCCCUCUGUGCUUUGUGUGCGUGGUGCGCGAGCGUCAGUCGCGGUCUCAUCUACUCCGUCUUUCUGUGACCCCACCCCCUCCCCGUCUUGCACGAUAUGUCGAUCCCACAACCGCCACGCAUUCGCGCGGGCGUGCACGUAUUCCGAUGCUAGGCCUCCACCCCCGCCUCUUUUCUUUCCCCUUCCUGCGCGCCUAGUGAUGCCGGCCACCUUGCCGUGGUAUCAGGGUCUCGUACCCCACCCUGUGGGGAAACCAAGAGCCUGCACGCUCUCCUUGGGUGCGGCUGGCGGACUCUUCUAGUGCCGGUGGACAUGUCCGAGCUGGCGUAGCGCCGCAGGAGACUUGCGCUCUUGCUGGUCACGCUUGCACCCGUUCGCUGCUAAUCGAGUCGUCGAUCCAGCAUGUGCAUCGUUGCCCAUUUACUUUGAGGCAGAACGGAACCAUUCGCCGAAAAGCACGAGAAGUCUCUCCCGGGCUUCUCUUGUUCACUCCGCCGUCGCCGGCAAUGUGAGUAGCGUACGCUCCCCCGGCAGAGAAAGUAAGCAGACAGAGCGUCAACGGCCCACCCGGCCAAUCCAUGGUACACAAGCAUACACAUACACACACAGGGAAGGCAAUGGCAGUCCCCGCCCACCUCUGCAUGACUGUCUUGCGAUGGGAGCUUUCUGCUUCCCCACACCCAAACAAAUGAUCCACAACGCUCUCGCUGACGGCAUCAUGCGGCCGGAGGCGGAACUCUGCAAAAGCAUUGUGUGUGUGUGUGUGUGUGUGUGUGUGUGCGAUCGCGAUCGCGAUCACCUCUCCGCGGCUAUCCACGCUGGGUGAGACAGUGGAAGUGCGGCAAGAAGACCAGCCUUGCCAACAGCGUUGAUGUCUUCUACGUGCAAGAGCAAUACAAUCAGCUCAUGCGCCAGAGCUGUGUCCGGAAGAGGAUGCGACUGGACCUCCUUCGUGAGGAGGCCCGUUUGGCACACAUACGCGAACCCGCGCAACACCUCAUACAAAUCGUUGCCGCUCAUGUUCGAGCAAACUCAGCCCCACCGAGGUGCGAGUCUCUAAAACCAGAUGGCCAAAGGAACACUUCGACGAGGUCCUCAGCACUCUGUGGCCUCAUCGCGUCCCAGAGUUUCGGAAAAUUCAAAAAGCAGGGCCGCCACAGCGCUUGCGGCACUGACCGCGUGGCCUGCUCUGCACUUGAGCCUGAAGUGCAUCGAAGCACACUAUCCGCUUGGGCCAAUCGCUUGCGGUCGUGCUCUCCCCCCCCCCUUGUUGAGCUCUGUCGUGCGGCCACCACCACCACCCCUCCACUUGCCAUGUCGCUGUUCCCCCUGAGUACUGCGUUUGCCGCUUGACGUUGUCAAACCGAAAAGGCCGUCUCCGCGGUCAUCAAGGCGGACGAAAACAAGAGGCCGCGCACCCGCCCAAGCACCACAUGAAGAGAGAACGCAACGACACGAAGGGACGGGCGAUCACGUGGGGAGAGGAAGUGGGGUGGGGAUAAGACGCGGGACCCCGUGACGCUUUCGCUCGUGUUGCCGGUUGGCACUUAAACAGACGAAAUGGAAAUCACGAACUCUGUACGCCACAAGUCCGGCGACGAGUAAAGUCCAAAAUCGCUACGUCGCGCGGCAGCCAGGGCAGCGCGGCGAAAUGAGUGUCUAUACAGC
rnacentral:misc_RNA from 1 species